rnacentral:rRNA from 1 species
GAUGAACGCUGGCGGCGUGCCUAACACAUGCAAGUCGAGCGGCAGCGAGGGGUGCUUGCACCCUGUCGGCGAGCGGCGGACGGCUGAGUAACGCGUGGGAACGUGCCCCAAAGUGAGGAAUAACUGCCCGAAAGGGUAGCUAAUACCGCAUAUUAUCUUCGGAUCAAAGGAUUUAUCCGCUUUGGGAGCGGCUCGCGUCGGAUUAGGUAGUUGGUGAGGUAAUGGCUCACCAAGCCGACGAUCCGUAGCUGGUCUGAGAGGAUGACCAGCCAGACUGGAACUGAGACACGGUCCAGACUCCUACGGGAGGCAGCAGUGAGGAAUCUUCCACAAUGGCGAAAGCCUGAUGGAGCAACGCCGCGUGCAGGACGAAGGCCUUCGGGUUGUAAACUGCUUUUAUAAGUGAGGAAUAUGACGGUAACUUAUGAAUAAGGAGCGGCUAACUACGUG